UUUUUUGAGAGUUUGAUCCUGGCUCAGGAUAAACGCUGGCGGCGUGCCUUACGCAUGCAAGUCGAACGAUUCUGAUUUAUCAGUUUAGUGGCAAACGGGUGAGUAACACGUAAGUAACCUGCCUUUAAGCAGGGGAUAACUCCGGGAAACCGGAGCUAAUACCGUAUGUGAUAGUAGAGGUAAUGCACUACUAUUAAAGCCUUCGGGCACUUAGAGAGGGGCUUGCGUCCGAUUAGCUAGUUGGUGGGGUAACGGUUCACCAAGGCUGUGAUCGGUAGCUGGUCUGAGAGGACGGUCAGCCACACUGGGACUGAGACACGGCCCAGACUCCUACGGGAGGCAGCAGCGAGGAAUUUUAGUCAAUGGGCGAAAGCCUGAACUAGCGACGCCGCGUGGGGGAUGAAGGUUUUCGGAUUGUAAACCCCUUUUAUCAGGGAGGAAUAAUGACAGUACCUGAUGAAUAAGUCAUGGCUAACUACGUGCCAGCAGCCGCGGUGAUACGUAGGUGGCGAGCGUUAUCCGGAUUUACUGGGCGUAAAGCGGGUGCAGACGGUCUUUCAAGUCGGGCGUAAAAUCUCCCAGCUUAACUGGGAGGGACCGUUCGAUACUGUGAGGCUUGAGGACAGCAGGGGGAGGUAGAAUUCUCGGUGUAGUGGUGGAAUGCGUAGAUAUCGAGAGGAAUACCAGUGGCGAAGGCGGCCUCCUGGGCUGUUUCUGACGUUCAGACCCGAAGGUGUGGGGAGCAAACAGGAUUAGAUACCCUGGUAGUCCACACUGUAAACGAUGGAUACUAGGUAUAGGGAGUAUCGACCCUCUCUGUGCCAAAGCUAACGCGUUAAGUAUCCCGUCUGGGAAGUACGGCCGCAAGGCUAAAACUCAAAGGAAUUGACGGGGGCCCGCACAAGCAGCGGAGCGUGUGGUUUAAUUCGAUGCAAAACGAAGAACCUUACCAAGGCUUGACAUGUUAGAAGUAGUGAACCGAAAGGGGAACGACCUGUUAAGUCAGGAACUAUCACAGGUGCUGCAUGGCUGUCGUCAGCUCGUGCCGUGAGGUGUAUGGUUAAGUCCUGCAACGAGCGCAACCCCUGUUGCCAGUUGUAUUCUCUGGCGAGACUGCCUCGCACAACGGGGAGGAAGGUGGGGAUGAUGUCAAGUCAGCACGGCCCUUAUGUCUUGGGCUACACACACGCUACAAUGGAUGGUACAAUUGGUUGCAAUAGAGUGAUCUGGAGCUAAUCCCAAAAACCAUCCUCAGUACAGAUUGCAGGCUGAAACUCGCCUGCAUGAAGGUGGAGUUGCUAGUAACCGUAAGUCAGCAUAUUACGGUGAAUACGUUCUCGGGCCUUGUACACACCGCCCGUCACGUCAUGAAAGUUGGCAACACUUGAAGUCAAUGGGCUAACCCGCUUCUAGCGGGAGGCAGUUGCCGAAGGUGGGGCUAGCGAUUGGGACGAAGUCGUAACAAGGUAGCUGUAGCGGAAGCUGUGGCUGGAUCACCUCCUUU
rfam:Chloroflexi bacterium RBG_13_46_14 RBG_13_scaffold_3640, whole genome shotgun sequence.